rnacentral:rRNA from 1 species
GAUGAACGCUGGCGGCGUGCCUAAUACAUGCAAGUCGAGCGAACAGACGAGGAGCUUGCUCCUCUGACGUUAGCGGCGGACGGGUGAGUAACACGUGGAUAACCUACCUAUAAGACUGGGAUAACUUCGGGAAACCGGAGCUAAUACCGGAUAAUAUAUUGAACCGCAUGGUUCAAUAGUGAAAGACGGUUUUGCUGUCACUUAUAGAUGGAUCCGCGCCGCAUUAGCUAGUUGGUAAGGUAACGGCUUACCAAGGCGACGAUGCGUAGCCGACCUGAGAGGGUGAUCGGCCACACUGGAACUGAGACACGGUCCAGACUCCUACGGGAGGCAGCAGUAGGGAAUCUGCCGCAAUGGGCGAAAGCCUGACGGAGCAACGCCGCGUGAGUGAUGAAGGUCUUCGGAUCGUAAAACUCUGUUAUUAGGAAGAACAAAUGUGUAAGUAACUAUGCACGUCUUGACGGUACCUAAUCAGAAAGCCACGGCUAACUACGUG